ensembl:lncRNA
UUUACUUGGUUUCACCAUAUUUACCUGUUCACCAACUUUUAUGUUUAUUUUUAGGAUGGAGCAAGCACAGUAAUCCAAGGCACCAGAGAGGUACUCCACGCCACCAUGUAGAGGAUGGCUACAUAGGGCAAGAAGGCAGAGGUAGGGGGAAGUUUUAGCUCUGCACAUGAAGAACAUUUGGAGAAGAUCAAGUGGCUGACUGAAGAGAAGGUCGAGCUGAGGGCACAGCUGGCUCUACAAUCAGAUUCUACAGGAGCCAUAAGAAAGAAUCUUUCCAGCCGGGAUGCCACUGAUGAGGCUGUCCAGAACCAGGUCCCCAGGUACCAGAAAGGGGCAGCUGACCGUGCAGGUGGGAGAUGACGUGGCAGUACAAUGGACCUGCCGUGAAUAUGAAUGACAUCUCCAACACAACCAAUAUUGCUGCUA